GUCGAAGGUGGCUAGCGUUGUUCGGAAUCACUGGGCUUAAAGCGCGCGUAGGCGGCUCAUCAAGUGUCCGGUGAAAUCCCUCGGCUCAACCGAGGAAUGGCUGGGCAAACUGAUCGGGCUUGAGGCAGGCAGGGGCGAGUGGAACUCUUGGUGGAGCGGUGGAAUGCGUAGAUAUCAAGAGGAACGCCGGAGGUGAAGACGAUUCGCUGGGCCUGUCCUGACGCUGAGGUGCGAAAGCCAGGGGAGCAAACGGG
rnacentral:rRNA from 1 species